UUCUUAGUGUAAAAAGCUAGGAGAAUAAGUGGUGGGCAAGACUGGUGCCAGCAGCCGCGGUAACACCAGCGCCACUAGUGGGGACCGCUAUUAUUGGGCCUAAAGCGUCCGUAGCCGGAUUUGUAAAUCUUUUGUGAAAUUAUGUGGCUUAACCAUAUAAAGUGCAGAAG
rnacentral:rRNA from 1 species